UUAUGGCCAUAUCAUGUUGAAACACCAGUUCUCCUACAAUCAUUGAAGUUAAGCAAUGUCAAGCCUGAUCAGUAGUUAGAUGAAUGACCACUUAGGAAUACCAGGUGCUGUAAG